GGUCCUACGGGAGGCAGCAGUGGGGAAUAUUGGACAAUGGGCGCAAGCCUGAUCCAGCCAUGCCGCGUGAGUGAUGAAGGCCUUAGGGUUGUAAAGCUCUUUCACCGGAGAAGAUAAUGACGGUAUCCGGAGAAGAAGCCCCGGCUAACUUCGUGCCAGCAGCCGCGGUAAUACGAAGGGGGCUAGCGUUGUUCGGAAUUACUGGGCGUAAAGCGCACGUAGGCGGAUAUAAAAGCCAGG
rnacentral:rRNA from 1 species